UACGUAGGUGACCAGCGUUGUCCGGAUUUACUGGGCGUAAAGAGCGCGCAGGCGGUCGUUCAAGUCGAGUGUGAAAGCCCCCGGCUCAACUGGGGAGGGUCACUCGAUACUGAUCGACUUGAAGGCAGGAGAGGGAAGCGGAAUUCCCGGUGUAGUGGUGAAAUGCGUAGAUAUCUGGAGGAACACCGGUGGCGAAGGCGGCAUCCUGGACCGACACUGACACUGAGGCGCGAAAGCUAGGGUAGCAAACGGG
rnacentral:rRNA from 1 species